CUCCAGACUCCUACGGGAGGCAGCAGUGGGGAAUAUUGCACAAUGGGGGAAACCCUGAUGCAGCGACGCCGCGUGAGCGAUGAAGUAUUUCGGUAUGUAAAGCUCUAUCAGCAGGGAAGAAGAUGACGGUACCUGACUAAGAAGCCCCGGCUAACUACGUGCCAGCAGCCGCGGUAAUACGUAGGGGGCAAGCGUUAUCCGGAUUUACUGGGUGUAAAGGGAGCGUAGACGGCAGUGCAAGUCCGGAGUGAAAGCCCGGGGCUCAACCCCGGGACUGCUCUUGGAACUGCGUGGCUGGAGUGCAGGAGGGGCAGGCGGAAUUCCUGGUGUAGCGGUGAAAUGCGUAGAUAUCAGGAGGAACACCGGUGGCGAAGGCGGCCUGCUGGACUGCAACUGACGUUGAGGCCCGAAAGCGUGGGGAGCAAACAGGAUUAGAUACCCCUGUA
rnacentral:rRNA from 1 species